UAUUUGUAAACGACUAAACUUAUAUUAAACACUUUUAAACAAGUUUAGUUACAAGUUUAUGUUAUGUGUUGAUGUAACUACAAUAAAAAGAGUAUUAACAUUUUAGUAAAAUGUCAUAUCACCGGGCUGUUUGGUUGGAAGAAAAUCGUGAGGAAGAAGGAGUCUUGCCAUCCGCAUGGGUGCGGGGAAAAGUAGUUAUGUGGCCCCCAUCCAAAAUGAAUGCGUUUAAAUUAAUGAAAGAAGGAGUAGAACCUAAUGAAAAUUGGCGACUUUUUCAACUAAUAAAAAUAAAAAUUACUUUAGAUUGCUACGAGGAUUGUAAUAAUUAUGAUUUAACUACAGAAACUGAAGAAGAUAAUCAGCAAGUUUCAAAAAAACUGCAAGCGUACUGCUUGUACAACUUUUUUUGAAGGCGAGGAAGAAGUUGAUGUUGAUAUUAAUACAGAAACCACCUGCUAAAUUAGGCAAAAUGUUACCAUCAAAUAUUUCACUAUAUAAAAAGAUUGUGGAUGUGGUACCACAAGGAUAUAAAAGUGAUCAUGCAACUAAACUAUCACCAAUUCCACAGUCACCUGGUCUUUCAAGCUGUUAUUCUAAGAUACCUUCAUUCAAAUCAAGCAUGGUGACUAUACCAAAAUAAAAUAAAAUGGAUCAAUCAAGUAAGAUGUCUAAAGUUAUAUCUUUGAUAUAGACCACCUUCACUUUUAAAUAAUCUUCAGAUUUAGACCUACUAACUUUAAC
rnacentral:lncRNA from 1 species